rnacentral:rRNA from 1 species
UACAGAGGUCUCAAGCGUUGUUCGGAUUCAUUGGGCGUAAAGGGUGUGUAGGUGGCGCCGUAAGUCGGGUGUGAAAUUUCGGAGCUUAACUCCGAAACUGCAUUCGAUACUGCUGUGCUUGAGGACUGGAGAGGAGACUGGAAUUUACGGUGUAGCAGUGAAAUGCGUAGAGAUCGUAAGGAAGACCAGUGGCGAAGGCGGGUCUCUGGACAGUUCCUGACACUGAGGCACGAAGGCCAGGGGAGCAAACGGG